AUACGGAGGGUGCAAGCGUUAUUCGGAAUCACUGGGCGUAAAGGACGCGUAGGCGGGUUGGAAAGUCAGAUGAGAAAUCCUACAGCUUAACUGUAGAACUGCAUUUGAAACUUCUGAUCUAGAGUAUGGGAGGGGGAGAUGGAAUUAGUGGUGUAGGGGUAAAAUCCGUAGAUAUCACUAGGAAUACCGAAAGCGAAGGCGAUCUCCUGGAACAUAACUGACGCUAAGGCGUGAAAGCGUGGGGAGCAAACAGGAUUAGAAACCCUAGUAGUCC
rnacentral:rRNA from 1 species